GACAGAGGGUGCAAACGUUGUUCGGAAUUACUGGGCGUAAAGCGCGUGUAGGCUGUUCGGAAAGUCGGAUGUGAAAGCCCUGGGCUCAACCCAGGAAGUGCAUUCGAAACUCCCGAACUGGAGUCCUGGAGAGGAAGGCGGAAUUCUCGGUGUAGAGGUGAAAUUCGUAGAUAUCGAGAAGAACACCGGUGGCGAAGGCGGCCAUCUGGACGGUGACUGACGCUGAGACGCGAAAGCGUGGGGAGCAAACAGG
rnacentral:rRNA from 1 species